AUUGAACGCUGGCGGCAGGCCUAACACAUGCAAGUCGAGCGGAGCGGCGGACGGGUGAGUAAUGCCUAGGAAUCUGCCUGGUAGUGGGGGAUAACGUCCGGAAACGGGCGCUAAUACCGCAUACUAUCAGAUGAGCCUAGGUCGGAUUAGCUAGUUGGUGGGGUAAAGGCCUACCAAGGCUACGAUCCGUAACUGGUCUGAGCGGAUGGUCAGUAACACUGGAAUUGAUACACUGUCCCACACCCUAAUGGAGGCAGCAGGGGGGAAUAUUGGAAAAUGGGUGAAAGCCUUGUCCAGCCAUGCCGCGUGUGUGAAUAAGGUCUUCGGAUUGUAAAGCACUUUAAGGUGGGAGGCGGUACCAACAGAAUAAGCACCGGCUAACUUCGUGCCAACCGCCGCGGUAAUAC
rnacentral:rRNA from 1 species